rnacentral:rRNA from 1 species
GUAGGCACCAAGCGUUGUCCGGAUUUAUUGGGCGUAAAGAGCUCGUAGGCGGUUCGGUAAGUCGGGUGUGAAAACUCUGGGCUCAACCCAGAGAGGCCACCCGAUACUGCCGUGACUGGAGUGCGGUAGGGGAGUGGGGAAUUCCUGGUGUAGCGGUGAAAUGCGCAGAUAUCAGGAGGAACACCAGUGGCGAAGGCGCCACUCUGGGCCGUAACUGACGCUGAGGAGCGAAAGCGUGGGUAGCAAACAGGAUUAGAUACCCUGGUAGUCCACGCCGUAAACGUUGGGCACUAGGUGUGGGUCUCAACCAACGAGAUCCGCGCCGUCGCUAACGCAUUAAGUGCCCCGCCUGGGGAGUACGGCCGCAAGGCUA